rnacentral:rRNA from 1 species
GCAACCCCUUUCGUAUGUUACCAUCAUUAAGUUGGGGACUCAUGCGAUACUGCCUGCGAUGAGCAGGAGGAAGGUGGGGAUGACGUCAAGUCAUCAUGCCCCUUAUACGCUGGGCUACACACGUGCUACAAUGGGUAGUACAGAGAGUCGCAAAGCCGCGAGGUGGAGCUAAUCUCAGAAAACUAUUCUUAGUUCGGAUUGUACUCUGCAACUCGAGUACAUGAAGUUGGAAUCGCUAGUAAUCGCGAAUCAGCAAUGUCGCGGUGAAUACGUUCUCGGGUCUUGUACACACCGCCCGUCACACCACGAGAGUUGGUUGCACCUGAAGUAGCAGGCCUAACCGUAAGGAGGG